rnacentral:rRNA from 1 species
CCUACGGGAGGAGUAGUGGGGGAUAUUGCGCAAUGGGGGAAACCCUGACGCAGCAACGCCGCGUGAAGGAAGACGGUUUUCGGAUUGUAAACUUCUUUUGUUAAGGACGAAGAAAGUGACGGUACUUAACGAAUAAGCUCCGGCUAACUAUGUGCCAGCAGCCGCGGUAAUACGUAGGUG